rnacentral:rRNA from 1 species
UACAGAGGGGGCAAGCGUUAUUCGGAAUUAUUGGGCGUAAAGGGCGCGUAGGCGGCCUGGCAAGUGGAAGGUGAAAUCCCUCGGCUUAACCGAGGAACUGCCCUCCAAACUGCUUGGCUUGAGUCCGGGAGAGGUGAGUGGAAUUCCCAGUGUAGCGGUGAAAUGCGUAGAUAUUGGGAGGAACACCGGUGGCGAAGGCGGCAUCCUGGACCGGUAUUGACGCUGAGGCGCGAAAGCCAGGGGAGCAAACGGG